ensembl:lncRNA
GCCUGAGAUUCCCUCUACAGCGAUCAGAGUUGAGAAACACACUAUUCCAUCUUCCAAGUAUACUCACUGAGACCGCCUGACUCCGGGUUCACGUGAGCCGAGUAGGAGAAUGAUUUGCUGAGGGAGGCUGGAUCACCCUCAGAGAGGAGGUAGUAGUGUGUGGUCUUGAACCUGGGGCAUGGCAUGUGCUAUGGAGUUCUCUCCUGGGCAGAUGUGCUGUCUGAGGAGUUGCUGGCUUGAGCUGAGAGAUGAAAAUAGACAUGCCUACAUCCUCCUGGUCAACCCGGCGCUUUCAUCACCUCCCCUUCUCAGGGGCUCAUCAUUGUUCUUGUAGCCACUGUGGACUUGAAAAAUGGAUACAAGGUAUUCACAGGCUGCAAGGCCUCCGGCUGACAGAAGCUGCCUGCCGAAUGUGCAGUGGGGGUUCGGCUGGAGGCCCCACUGACGGGACGUCAGCUGGCUGGGUACGCCGAGGG